rnacentral:rRNA from 1 species
UGCGACCCCAGGUCAGGCGGGGCUACCCGCUGAGUUUAAGCAUAUCAAUAAACG